rnacentral:rRNA from 1 species
UACAUGUGGGGCAAGCGUUGUUCGGAAUUACUGGGCAUAAAGGGUGCGUAGGCGGCAUGUUAAGUCAGUGGUGAAGUCCGGUGGCCCAACCAUCGAACUGCCAUUGAUACUGGCGUGCUUGAGUGCGUGAGGGGUGACCGGAAUUUCUGGUGUAGCGGUGAAAUGCGUAGAUAUCAGAAGGAACAUCAGUGGCGAAAGCGGCUUCCUGGACCAGAACUGACGAUCAGGCUCGAAAGCGUGGGGAGCAAACAGG